GUGAGGAAUAUUGCACAAUGGGCGAAAGCCUGAUGCAGCAACGCCGCGUGAGUGAUGAAGGCCUUUGGGUCGUAAAACUCUGUCCUUGGGGAAGAAAAAAAUGACGGUACCCUUGGAGGAAGCCCCGGCUAACUACGUGCCAGCAGCCGCGGUAAUACGUAGGGGGCAAGCGUUAUCCGGAAUUAUUGGGCGUAAAGAGUGCGUAGGUGGUUUUGUAAGCGUAGGGUGAAAGGCAGUAGCUCAACUAUUGUUAGCCCUGCGAACUGUGAGACUUGAGUGCAGGAGAGGAAAGUGGAAUUCCUAGUGUAGCGGUGAAAUGCGUAGAUAUUAGGAGGAACACCAGUGGCGAAGGCGACUUUCUGGACUGUAACUGACACUGAGGCACGAAAGCGUGGGUAGCAAACAGGAUUAGAUACCCUAGUAGUCC
rnacentral:rRNA from 1 species